rnacentral:rRNA from 1 species
CCUACGGGUGGCAGCAGUGAGGAAUAUUGGUCAAUGGGCGCGAGCCUGAACCAGCCAAGUAGCGUGAAGGAUGACUGCCCUACGGGUUGUAAACUUCUUUUGUCAGGGAAGAGUAGAAGACGGUACCUGACGAAUAAGCCACGGCUAACUACGUGCCAGCAGCCGCGGGAAUACGUGGGGGGCAAGCGUUGUCCGGAAUUACUGGGUGGAAAGGGCGUGUAGCCGGGUUGACAAGGCAGAUGUGAAAUCCUGCGUCUUAACCGCAGAACUGCAUUUGAAACUGUUGUUCUUGAGUACUGGAGAGGGAGGCGGAAUUCGUGGUGUAGCGGUGAAAUGCGUAGAUAUUAGGAGGAACACCGGGGGCGAAGGCGGUCUGCUGGACAGCAACUGACGGUGAGGCGCGAAAGCGUGGGUAGCAAACAGGAUUAGAUACCCGUGUAGUC